UACGUAGGGGGCAAGCGUUGUCCGGAUUUAUUGGGCGUAAAGAGCGUGUAGGCAGCUUUACAGGUCCGUUGUGAAAACUCGAGGCUCAACCUCGAGACGCCGGUGGAAACCGUAAAGCUAGAGUCCGGAAGAGGAGAGUGGAAUUCCUGGUGUAGCGGUGAAAUGCGCAGAUAUCAGGAAGAACACCCGUGGCGAAGGCGGCUCUCUGGGACGGUACUGACGCUGAGACGCGAAAGCGUGGGGAGCGAACAGG
rnacentral:rRNA from 1 species